rnacentral:tRNA from 1 species
GGGCCGGUGCGGGGGCGGGUCGCCGCUGCGCGCUCGUCGCGGGCGCGGCUGCUCGCUGCGCGCGCUGCUGCGGUUCCGGCGGCACCGGCCCUCCA